rnacentral:sRNA from 1 species
GCCAGACACGGUGGCGCAUGCCUGUAAUCCCAGUGGUUCUGGAGGCUAAGGCAGGAGGAUGGCUAGUUCAAAGCCAGCCUCAGGAACUUAGUGAGGCCCUAAGCAACGUAGUGAGACCCUGUCUCAC